ensembl:lncRNA
GAGAGAGAGUUCCUCUGGAAUAUGCACAGCUCCCAAACUCCUGGGAGAGAUAUUCUGGAAUACACACUGCUCCCAAACUCCUGGGAGAGAGAAUUACUCUGGAAUACACACAGCUUCCAAACUCCUGGGAGAGAGAUAUUCUGGAAUACACACUGCUCCCAAACUCCUGAGAGAGUUACUCUGGAACACACACAGCUCCCAAACUCCUCUGCAUCCUGCUGAGAUGGAGGGCCCUGACUCGAUGCUGUGCAUGAGAACUUGCUACACAAAGCACUGCAGAGUGCUUGGCAUUGCUGAAAAUCCGCCUGAGCUGGGGCAAAGCCCCCUCUCCAGGAGCUGCAGGUGCUCUCGUAGGAUUGUGAAACAACAGUGGCCAAACAGAGCCAGCAAGUGUGCCCUGCCCAUCAUCCCAGAAUACCCAGGCUUCCAGGAUGUCAAGCUGUCAAAAAGUUCUUUGGCAAAUCCUGCCUUCAGCCAAAUGUUCCAGGGCCUGGAGAGAGGGAGGAAGCUCAGUGACUGCCCAAUGAGGGGCUCCUUACCCUAUGGCCUGGGGGGCUCCUCUGGAGGCUCCUCUGGAGGCUUCCAGGACAAGCCCCUGCAGGAGUAUUUCACUGAGAGGCUGCUGGAGCUGGGGAGCUGCAAGGGCAGGAGGAGCAGCAGGAGAUGCAGGGGGUUUGCAGAGAGGAACCAGAGCUGGAGCGGCGCUGGGCCGGGAGGGAGAGUGGCCCUGCAGCCCAGCACAGCAGCACAGGAAUGGACAGCAAGGCUCAGCAGGAGAUCCACAGCAUCCUAAAAGUCUACUCUGGCAACUUCUUGGAGCUUUUGAUAGUGCCCAUCGCCGCUCCUCUGGAAGCGUUGGUGCAGGAGAAGUGAUGCUGGAGAUGGUUGCAGGUUUUCGUGCAGUCCUGAAGAGUUGUUCCUGUUCUGCACCACUCUCAUUUAUAGCUCAGUCCCCUCUGAUGCAGAAAGGGGCUUGUUUUGGGAUUGCUCUUGAUUAACAUUGCAUAUAUUUGUUUUCAGUUAUUUCCUGGAAAGAAUCAGCAUGAUUGAGCCAUAGGUGCAGUACAUACAUGCAUGUAUUACUAGAAUACUUAAGUUGCCUUCAAAAAAGCUGAUUAGUGUCAGAGGAGUAGCUUGUUUCCUGCUGUGCACUUUGUGUUAAUUAAUCUGAGGAAAGGCUGCUGUAUUCUGCCUCUUAUUUUGCUUUUUUAAGCCCCUUGCUUUUAUGAUGUCACUGUGGCCUGACUAAUUUAUCUUCUUACUGUGACUUAUUUCUGACACAGAUGCAAAUAGUUGAUGAGAAAUUACUGAUUUUCAGUCAUUGCCAUGAAAUCAUGAGGGGGAUCACUGCAAGAGUCUGAUGCAUGAAGAAGCAAACACAGACAUAAGAUCUACUUUUAAAUAUGAUCUGCCAUUAUGGUUUUAUUUGCAGACUCAAAACCCCUUGACUGAAAAACCACCGCAGGGGCAGAGAGGAAAAAAUGCUGGAUUUAAGUUAGAGUGAUGGAAUUAAGUAUGAAAGAAGGCUCCUUCCCUCUUUCCUUCUGUAAAUACAAGAACCACAUAGGGAAUUCCUAAUGUAAUCUGAACUUCAAAUUGUUUAUUGUAUUUUAAUGUUUAUCGUGGUCAUGUAAGUAUAAAAUGUCAGCUGCAGCUGAAUCCUUUUACUAUGGGAAAUGUCAAUGUUUAAUUCCACAGUGAAUAUCAAACCCAAAUGAAGCAACGACUUUAAGCUUCCAGAAAGAUCUAUUACUGCCUGUGGUAUCAUCAGCAAUAAAUUCCUCAUUAUAGUUGUGGUUGGAAUGGAU